rnacentral:rRNA from 1 species
UGGGGAAUAUUGCACAAUGGGCGCAAGCCUGAUGCAGCGACGCCGCGUGAGGGACGACGGCCUUCGGGUUGUAAACCUCUUUUGGCAGGGAAGAAGCGAGAGUGACGGUACCUGCAGAAAAAGCACCGGCUAACUACGUGCCAGCAGCCGCGGUGAUACGUAGGGUGCAAGCGUUGUCCGGAAUUAUUGGGCGUAAAGAGCUCGUAGGCGGUUUGUCGCGUCUGCUGUGAAAACCCGAGGCUCAACCUCGGGCCUGCAGUGGGUACGGGCAAACUAGAGUGCGGUAGGGGAGAUUGGAAUUCCUGGUGUAGCGGUGGAAUGCGCAGAUAUCAGGAGGAACACCGAUGGCGAAGGCAGAUCUCUGGGCCGUAACUGACGCUGAGGAGCGAAAGCAUGGGGAGCGAACA